GCCAACGUGGUCUAGUGGUUUGAACAUUGGACUACAACUCUUGAAACCAUGGUUCAAAGCCCUGCUGGGCC